rnacentral:rRNA from 1 species
CCUACGGGCGGCUGCAGUGGGGAAUAUUGCACAAUGGGCGCAAGCCUGAUGCAGCCAUGCCGCGUGUGUGAAGAAGGCCUUCGGGUUGUAAAGCACUUUCAGCGGGGAGGAAGGCGGUGAGGUUAAUAACCUCAUCGAUUGACGUUACCCGCAGAAGAAGCACCGGCUAACUCCGUGCCAGCAGCCGCGGUAAUACGGAGGGUGCAAGCGUUAAUCGGAAUUACUGGGCGUAAAGCGCACGCAGGCGGUCUGUCAAGUCGGAUGUGAAAUCCCCGGGCUCAACCUGGGAACUGCAUUCGAACCUGGCGGGUUAGAGCCUUGUAGAGGGGGGUAGAAUUCCAGGUGUAGCGGUGAAAUGCGUAGAGAUCGGGAGGAAUACCGGUGGCGAAGGCGGCCCCCUGGACAAAGACGGACGCUCAGGGGCGAAAGCGUGGGGAGCAAACAGGAUUAGAACCCCAGUAGUC